CUGUGUUGCCCAUGCUGGUCUUGAACUCCUGGGUUCAAGUGAUCCUCCCACCUCGGGCUUCCAAACUGCUGAGAUUAUAGGCAUGAGCCACUGUGCCCGGCCUGAGAAGAGAGGAAUGUACCCAAUUUGUACAGAUGAUGAAUUAGAGCGGUUGUUAUCGAAUCUGCCACCAGAGGGCGAUCCAGGCUGAAGGUGACAUUACACUUAGAGGGAUCCACAGAUUCAAGAGGCUGCUUGGGGAGGGCAGCACAGUGAAGUACAAGGACUUUGACAUCAGAGAGGCCUGGAUUCAAGUCCCAAUUUCUGUGUGUGAUCUCUCUCUCUGCGGAAGCCAGCCACCGCUCUCCAAGGACUCUCGAGCAGCUCCAUCUACAGAUUCACAUGGAGAAGAAUUAAGGGUUCCUGCCAAUCACCAGCACCACUUUGCCAGCCUUGUAAGUGGGCCACCUUGGAAUUGGAGCCUCCAGUUCCUACUGACAUCUGACUGCAACAUCAUGAGAGACCCUGAGUUUGAACCACCCAGCUGAGCUGCUUCUGAGCUAACCCACUGAAACCGUGAAAGUACCUGAAUGAAACAACACCCAGUAGCCACUAGCACACCUAGCUCCCAGAUCUGUUUUUGAUGCCAUUCUUCAGUAAAAGGAAGCAAGGCUGCUUGGAGAAAUUGCUAUCAAGGACUGGGGUAGAAAAUAUACAAGAUGAAAUUGGAGCAUCUUGUAGUGCUUGAAAACAGUUGGCAUCUGUGUGAAGAUGUGAAUGGAGGAGGCAGAGUAGGCAGUGAGUGCCGCAGCCACAGCUUGUGUUCUCUGCAGCCCUGGCACAGAAGAUAGGAACACUCAUGGGGGAUGCGGCCACUGUGAUGUCUUCCCACACAAGAAGUGCCAAGUGCUUUUCUCAUGCUUUUCUGGAUUGUCCCAUGGUGGACGAGUCAGCAGGAGUGAGAUGGAGCAGCACAGUAGAGGGGCCAGGAUAUCGUUGUACAUAUUCUCAGCUAAGUGAGCACCAAUAGAGGAGAGGGAGAGUCUCAUGGAAGUUCCUUCUAAGCCUUUGGCUCUUUUUACCUUCAACAAGGUGUGCCACCUCUUUGAUCCAGCAAGUGGGAAGAACAGUCCCGGCCUCUUUGCACACAAGACCGUGAUACCAAUGCACCAUCACAGGCCCCACAGGGGAGCUGUCCGCUUCCCCACACAGCUGCUAGGGGCUCUUUUGCAUGUUCCCAACCUUUCCUGCCUUUAUCUGAUAUUCGUUCCUUAGAUCCUGGGAUGAGGAGGUGGACCAGCAGAAGGUGGGCUUGUGAAGGCAGCCCGGGGUCCAAAUCCUCCUGGCUCUUCAGCUUAGCGGGUUAGUUAACAUUCAGAAGCCUUCAUCUCCCAUCUGCAAAAUGGGCAUGUCCAACUCAGAAGCUGCCUUGAAGAAAGGGUCUACCCAGCAUGGUGCGUGGAGCCUAAGCAGUCAGUACUUCAGGACUUCACCCGGCCCCUUUCCAAUAACUGCUGCUGUCGCCCUCACAGGAUGUCACCUUCAGCGUCUGAAAGCUGGGUUUGAUGCGUCUGGAAAGGCGUCCCUGACAGGCGUCGUUGCCAGGAGCCCCUAGUGCCACCAGCAGCCAGCAGGGGAGGGCGUCCUCUGCCCGCUCACUUCUGACCCUUCUCUCGUUGCACCCGGAACAUGGUGCAGCUGGGAGCAGCCUGGGCUGCGCGGAAGGCUCAGAUUUGGGGACGGCCCUUGCCAGUGACUGUGAGCUGGGGUGUCUUGGAAACUCCCAGUCUCAGCUUCUCCAUUUAUAAGAUGAGAAUGAUCAUACCAGACUCAGGCAAGGUUGUUUGUGCAUUAGUGAAAUCAGACGUAUUAAAUAAAGUACCACAUUGAUCGUGGAGUUGUUGAAUAACCAAG
rnacentral:lncRNA from 1 species